rnacentral:lncRNA from 1 species
UUAUCCUAAAUGGUCCUAAUUUACUUAUUUUGGGGGCCAUCUCCAAAGCAAGUACAAUAAGAUUAACCUCUCUCAGAGUUGUAACAAGAAUAUUGUCAGAGUUCAAUAAAUUUUUUAAAAAUCCAAAAAUCCAUGGUUUAAUACAGUCAAAUGCAUUACUAUUCUCUUUUGUUCACUGUAGAUGUUAUUGUAGGUGGUUUCCUAUGAUGAGUAAAACAAGUACAUGGUCAUGUUGACACAUUAAUUUGUGGGUUAGGGAUUUUAGAUUUCAGUUCAGUUUUAACAUCAAUUUACAAAGAGAAGCAGACAGAAUCUUGUAGUCAACAUAUUUUACAAUAACACCAUUCACUGAUGUCAAGCAACUCAGACUGAGAUUGAUAAAAAAGAAAGAAAGAAACUAAACCAAUAAAUCCAGUCCUUGAAAUCAACAGAAAAUCAAGAAUCUGUAACAAUCAAUAUUGAAAAAGUACAUGAGACUCAAAAGAAAAUAUAUUUAAAGACAGAUUUAUACAUUUAUUGAUCUUGCAACAUUUUACAGUGCCAAAAAUCUACAACAGA